rnacentral:rRNA from 1 species
GAUGAACGCCGGCGGUGUGCCUAAUACAUGCAAGUCGAACGCGUUGGCCCAAUUGAUUGAUGGUGCUUGCACCUGAUUGAUUUUGGUCGCCAACGAGUGGCGGACGGGUGAGUAACACGUAGGUAACCUGCCCAGAAGCGGGGGACAACAUUUGGAAACAGAUGCUAAUACCGCAUAACAGCGUUGUUCGCAUGAACAACGCUUAAAAGAUGGCUUCUCGCUAUCACUUCUGGAUGGACCUGCGGUGCAUUAGCUUGUUGGUGGGGUAACGGCCUACCAAGGCGAUGAUGCAUAGCCGAGUUGAGAGACUGAUCGGCCACAAUGGGACUGAGACACGGCCCAUACUCCUACGGGAGGCAGCAGUAGGGAAUCUUCCACAAUGGGCGCAAGCCUGAUGGAGCAACACCGCGUGAGUGAAGAAGGGUUUCGGCUCGUAAAGCUCUGUUGUUAAAGAAGAACACGUAUGAGAGUAACUGUUCAUACGUUGACGGUAUUUAACCAGAAAGUCACGGCUAACUACGUGCCAGCAGCCGCGGUAAUACGUAGGUGGCAAGCGUUAUCCGGAUUUAUUGGGCGUAAAGAGAGUGCAGGCGGUUUUCUAAGUCUGAUGUGAAGGCCUUCGGCUUAACCGGAGAAGUGCAUCGGAAACUGGAUAACUUGAGUGCAGAAGAGGGUAGUGGAACUCCAUGUGUAGCGGUGGAAUGCGUAGAUAUAUGGAAGAACACCAGUGGCGAAGGCGGCUACCUGGUCUGCAACUGACGCUGAGACUCGAAAGCAUGGGUAGCGAACAGG